rnacentral:rRNA from 1 species
UGGGGAAUAUUGCACAAUGGGCGCAAGCCUGAUGCAGCCAUGCCGCGUGUAUGAAGAAGGCCUUCGGGUUGUAAAGUACUUUCAGUCGGGAGGAAGGUGGUAAGGUUAAUAACCUUAUCAAUUGACGUUACCGACAGAAGAAGCACCGGCUAACUCCGUGCCAGCAGCCGCGGUAAUACGGAGGGUGCAAGCGUUAAUCGGAAUUACUGGGCGUAAAGCGCACGCAGGCGGUUUGUUAAGUCAGAUGUGAAAUCCCCGGGCGCAACCUGGGAAAUGCAUAUGAUACUGGCAAGCUUGAGUCUCGUAGAGGGGGGUAGAAUUCCAGGUGUAGCGGUGAAAUGCGUAGAGAUCUGGAGGAAUACCGGUGGCGAAGGCGGCCCCCUGGACAAAGACUGACGCUCAGGUGCGAAAGCGUGGGGAGCAAACAGG